rnacentral:rRNA from 1 species
GACGAACGCUGGCGGCGUGCUUAACACAUGCAAGUCGAACGAAGUGGCGAACGGGUGAGUAACGCGUAAUCAACCUGCCCUUCAGAGGGGGACAACAGUUGGAAACGUCUGCUAAUACCGCAUACUGAAGGUGGGGAUUGCGUCUGAUUAGCUAGUUGGAGGGGUAACGGCCCACCAAGGCGAUGAUCAGUCGCCGGUCUGAGAGGGUGAACGGCCACAUUGGGACUGAGACACGGCCCAGACUCCUACGGUGGGCAGCAGGGGGGAAUCGUGCGGAAGGGACGAAAGUCUGACGGAGCAACGCCGCGUGAGUGAUGACGGCCUUCGGGUUGGAAAGGUCUGUUAAUCGGGACGCGGUACCGGAAUAGAAAGCCACGGCUAACUACGUGCCAGCAGCCGCGGUAAUAC